AUGGAUCCGAAUACCAGAGAAAACGACUGUUUUGACUUCUGUGGAUUCAUUAAAGAAGCUUCAGCAAAGUUCAACUUGCCGCAUGGAGCCAAUGUGGUUCUUAAAGACUCUGCAGGAGUUGAUGUUGAUGCUGAUAUUUUUGAUGAGCUUGUGAGAACAUCUAAGGUGUCCUUCAAAAUUUUGGAUGGUGAUAACAAUAAAUCGGGUAAGAAACUCAUGACCUGCUGCCAUGUUCAUAAAUGAAUCAUCUAGUUUGUAUUCCCAAACAUAUUUUUUCACAAUACAUGAUGAUCGCAUCUGUCUUUUUGGUGUUCAUAUUGUCUUGUGUCCUGUAUGUGAUUCUAAGAUAAUGUUCCACAAGCUGAGACCAAUCUCUCUGAGCCCUCAUGCCCUGAGUCAUCGUUUUCAUC
rnacentral:lncRNA from 1 species